GGCCCCGAGAGGGGCGUUGUUCGCUUCCCAGGAGGAAGCCAGCGCGAGGUUCCUCGGGGAAUGGCGACCAGUAUCCUUCAGAAAAGACACCUGAGGAGGAAGAAGAAUUGUUACACUUCUUAAAAUCAAGGUUCAGGCCAGUUGUCCUCCAGAAAAGCAUCCCUGAAAAAGAAGAACUAUUACACAUCUUAAA